rnacentral:rRNA from 1 species
AGAGUUUGAUCCUGGCUCAGAUUGAACGCUGGCGGCAGGCCUAACACAUGCAAGUCGAACGGUAACAGGAAGUGCUUGCACUUUGCUGACGAGUGGCGGACGGGUGAGUAAUACUUAGGGAUCUGCCUUCGGGAGGGGGAUAACCAUUGGAAACGAUGGCUAAUACCGCAUAACGUCUACGGACCAAAGGGGGCUUUUAGCUCUCACCUGAAGAGGAACCUAGGCGAGAUUAGCUAGUUGGUGGGGUAAAGGCUCACCAAGGCGACGAUCUCUAGCUGUUCUGAGAGGAAGAUCAGCCACACUGGGACUGAGACACGGCCCAGACUCCUACGGGAGGCAGCAGUGGGGAAUAUUGCACAAUGGGGGAAACCCUGAUGCAGCCAUGCCGCGUGUGUGAAGAAGGCCUUCGGGUUGUAAAGCACUUUCAGUUGUGAGGAAAGGUUAGUAGUUAAUACCUGCUAGCUGUGACGUUAGCAACAGAAGAAGCACCGGCUAACUCCGUGCCAGCAGCCGCGGUAAUACGGAGGGUGCGAGCGUUAAUCGGAAUUACUGGGCGUAAAGCGCACGCAGGCGGAUUGUCAAGCUAGAGGUGAAAGCCCCGCGCUCAACGUGGGAAUUGCCUUUAGAACUGGCAGUCUAGAGUCUUGGAGAGGGGAGUGGAAUUCCAGGUGUAGCGGUGAAAUGCGUAGAGAUCUGGAGGAACAUCAGUGGCGAAGGCGGCUCCCUGGCCAAAGACUGACGCUCAUGUGCGAAAGUGUGGGUAGCGAACAGGAUUAGAUACCCUGGUAGUCCACACCGUAAACGCUGUCUACUAGCUGUUUGUGUAUUUAAUACGUGAGUAGCGUAGCUAACGCGCUAAGUAGACCGCCUGGGGAGUACGGCCGCAAGGUUAAAACUCAAAUGAAUUGACGGGGGCCCGCACAAGCGGUGGAGCAUGUGGUUUAAUUCGAUGCAACGCGAAGAACCUUACCUACACUUGACAUCCAGAGAACUUACCAGAGAUGGUUUGGUGCCUUCGGGAACUCUGAGACAGGUGCUGCAUGGCUGUCGUCAGCUCGUG